rnacentral:rRNA from 1 species
UACGUAGGGGGCAAGCGUUGUCCGGAUUCAUUGGGCGUAAAGAGCUCGUAGGCGGUUCGAUAAGUCGGGUGUGAAACCUCCAGGCUCAACCUGGAGACGCCACCCGAUACUGUCGUGACUAGAGUCCAGUAGGGGAGCGUGGAAUUCCUGGUGUAGCGGUGAAAUGCGCAGAUAUCAGGAGGAACACCAGUGGCGAAGGCGGCGCUCUGGGCUGGAACUGACGCUGAGGCACGAAAGCGUGGGGAGCAAACAGG